rnacentral:rRNA from 1 species
ACCGGCGCACGGGCGAGUAUCGCGUAUCCAACUCUGCCCUUUACUUCGGGGAUACCCCGUUCGAAAGACGGCCUAAUACCCGAUGUAAUUUCAUUCGAUGGCAUCAGAAUAUGAAUAAAAGAAUUUAUCGGUAAAGGAUGGGGAUGCGUCUGAAUUAGCUUGUUGGUGAGGUAAAGGCUCACCAAGGCGACGAUCAGUAGGGGUUCUGAGAGGAAGGUCCCCCACAUUGGAACUGAGACACGGUCCAAACUCCUACGGGAGGCAGCAGUGAGGAAUAUUGGUCAAUGGACGGAAGUCUGAACCAGCCAAGUAGCGUGCAGGAAGACGGCCCUAUGGGUUGUAAACUGCUUUUAUACGAGAAUAAUUUUGAUGCACGUGUGCGUUAUUGCAUGUAUCGUAUGAAUAAGGACCGGCUAAUUCCGUGCCAGCAGCCGCGGUAAUACGGAAGGUCCAGGCGUUAUCCGGAUUUAUUGGGUUUAAAGGGAGUGUAGGCGGUUUGUUAAGCGUGUUGUGAAAUUUAGGUGCUCAACAUUUAACUUGCAGCGCGAACUGUCAGACUUGAGUACACGCAACGUAUGCGGAAUUCAUGGUGUAGCGGUGAAAUGCUUAGAUAUCAUGAAGAACUCCGAUUGCGAAGGCAGCAUACGGGAGUGUAACUGACGCUUAAGCUCGAAGGUGCGGGUAUCGAACAGGAUUAGAUACCCUGGUAGUCCGCACAGUAAACGAUGGAUGCCCGCUGUUAGCGCCUGGCGUUAGCGGCUAAGCGAAAGCAUUAAGCAUCCCACCUGGGGAGUACGCUGGCAACGGUGAAACUCAAAGGAAUUGACGGGGGCCCGCACAAGCGGAGGAACAUGUGGUUUAAUUCGAUGAUACGCGAGGAACCUUACCCGGGCUUGAAUUGCAGAGGAAUUAUUUAGAGAUAAAUAUGCCCUUCGGGGUCUCUGUGAAGGUGCUGCAUGGUUGUCGUCAGCUCGUGCCGUGAGGUGUCGGCUUAAGUGCCAUAACGAGCGCAACCCCUUUUCUUAGUUGCCAUCAGGUAAUGCUGGGCACUCUGGGAGCACUGCCACCGCAAGGUGUGAGGAAGGUGGGGAUGACGUCAAAUCAGCACGGCCCUUACGUCCGGGGCUACACACGUGUUACAAUGGCCGGUACAGAGGGAUGGUGUAAUGCAAAUUGCAUCAAAUCUUAAAAGCCGGUCCCAGUUCGGACUGAGGUCUGCAACCCGACCUCACGAAGCUGGAUUCGCUAGUAAUCGCGCAUCAGCCAUGGCGCGGUGAAUACGUUCCCGGGCCUUGUACACACCGCCCGUC